AUGUGCUGUUGGUUAGGUCAUGAAACUGACAUUUUUUGGUUGCUGGUUCGCCAGGUCAUGAUACACCUAAAACUGCAUGAGCUCCCUCCGAAACAUGUGCUCAAGCGAUGGACUAGAGAUGCAAGAGAUAUACUACUACCGGAGUAUUUGCGCUACCAGAAGGACCAUGGGCCCCUGAAGUAUUCUUCUCGUCGACACAACACUUUAUACUUGUUGGCAGUGGAUGUGGUUAAGUUAGGUGACAACAAUGUGGAAGCAUAUGCACUUGCAAUGGAGAAAAUGCGAGAUGUCAAAGUGCUCCCCGAGCCAGUUGCCGCCGUGCGGGAUGGGCUUGGUUUGUCUGAUAGAGAGCUGGCUGCAGAUUCAGCCGGCUCUGGGGGGAACAAGCAGCACUUUGGGAGAACUGAAUCUGUGCACACCCUUUCACAAGGAUCAGGUGUGUUUCCAACACCGUCCAAGAAACGAUCGGCUGGGCGUCCAACAACCAGCCGCGACAAGGCUCCAUAUGAACAACCAUCGAAGAGGAGCAAAUUAUGUUCUAUAUGUAGAAUUCAGGGGCACAAGAGCACAACAUGCCCUGCCAGAGGGGAUGUGCCAAAGGCACCUAGGAAAUCUCCGCGCUGCUCAAAAUGUGUGACAGGCCACAGGAAUAACGCAUGCAGCAACCCGCCUAAAGUCUGA
rnacentral:rRNA from 1 species